UGCUGGUGCUGCUGGUGCUGCUGGUGCUGCUGGUGGACAAUAGGACGGCGGGCGGCUCGCGAGGGGCCCAGGCUCCACGAAGAUAAGCGCAUCAGCCAUUACCGGGUUCCUCCUUCAGACCUAUUAGGUCUUGCAAGGACUUCAAACACCAAUUUGUUCUGCAAAUAGCCCAUUCAAUUUGUGCCUGCCAAAGAGAGACACCUCUCUCCCUCUCUGCAGUAAUUGAAUCUUCAAAGGGACAUUUUCCUCCAUUUCUGUCAGGUAUUAGAGUGAUGAAUAGCAAACGGUCAUUUGAACAGAAAAGAGAGGAUACAUGUUUAUCCAUUUUCAGUUAGACGCUCAUCAUACGCCUUGAUGAUUGCAUGGCUGGAGACUGAAUGGCAGCGCGGCGGGGUCUUCAAUGGAAGGACAGACGAGUUGAAAUAUCUUUUUUCUUUUUGCAUGAAAGAUAAAUUCUUGGGCACUUUGCGAGUGAGAGACGGUUAUAAUUCUGUAAUUCAGACAUAAAGACGCUCCUGGAAUGCUUCAUUGGUUUAAAAAAAAAAAGAAAAAAAAAAAGAAAAUGAGCGACUCUACAAUGAAUUUAAGGAGUCUUUUUAAAUCUUCAAUAUUUUUAUUAAUUAAAUACACCAUACUGGAGCAAAUGUCUCGGAAAAUAUCACAAAUAAAUUUCUCUUUCGUUCAGCA